AACGAACGCUGGCGGCGUGCCUAACACAUGCAAGUCGAACGAGAAGUACGUAGCAAUACGUAUUGUAAAGUGGCGCACGGGUGAGUAACACGUGGGUAAUCUGCCCUUGAGUUUGGGAUAACCCCGCGAAAGCGGGGCUAAUACCGAAUAAGACCACGGGGACCAAAGUCCCUGAGGUAAAAGGUGGCCUCUAUUUAUAAGCUACCACUCGAGGAUGAGCGCGCGGCCCAUUAGCGAGUUGGUGGGGUAAAGGCCUACCAAGGCGCCGAUCUGUAGCGGGUCUGAGAGGAUGAUCCGCCACACUGGAACUGAGACACGGUCCAGACUCCUACGGGAGGCAGCAGUGGGGAAUUUUGGACAAUGGGGGCAACCCUGAUCCAGCCAUGCCGCGUGAGUGAAGAAGGCCUUCGGGUUGUAAAGCUCUUUCGGCCGGGAAGAAAUCGGUGAGGCUAAUACCCUCACUGGAUGACGGUACCGGAAUAAGAAGCACCGGCUAACUACGUGCCAGCCGCCGCAGUAACAC
rnacentral:rRNA from 1 species